UAACGGCGAGUGAAGCGGGAAGAGCUCAAGUUGUGAAUCUGGCCCUCGGGCCCGAACUGUACACUGGAGAGGCGAGGCCAGCCGCUGUCCGCGGCCAAGUCUGAUUGGAAAUGAGCAUCAAGGAGGGUGACAAUCCCGUCCAUGCCGCGGUAUCGAUCAGCGCGCGUCCGGCCCGCUUUCGACGAGUCGAGUUGCUUGGGAUUGCAGCUCAAAGAGGGUGGUAAACUCCAUCCAAAGCUAAACACGGGGGGGAGACCGAUAGCGAACAAGUACCGUGAGGGAAAGAUGCAAAGAACUUUGAAAAGAGAGUUAAAGAGUGCCUGAAAUUGCUGGAAGGGAAGCGAAGGAAAGAGGUGUGCGGUUGCCCGGGCGCCAACCCCUACCUGUCCGCAGGUGGGGGUAGGCCGCCCGGCCGCGGUCAGGGGCAGCGCCGGGUUCGGGGGAAGAGCCAUGGGGGAUCGGUAGGCGUGCCGCUUCGGCGGGGCGCUGUUAGGCCCCGGUGGUGUUGUUGUUGCCCUGAGCCCGGCCCCCGUCUGGCGGUCGCGGCUUUCCUUCACCCCGUCUUGAAACACGGACCAAGGAGUCUAGCGUGGACGCGAGUAGAGGGGUGUCCAAACCCCCUUGCGCAAUGAAGGUGAACGCCGGUGGGAGGCUAUUCGUUUAGCCAGCACCAUCGACCGAGCGUGCUCCUCCGGGGGCAAGGCUUGAGUGUGAGCGUGCAUGCUGGGACCCGAAAGAUGGUGAACUAUGCCUGAAUAGGGCGAAGCCAGGGGAAACUCUGGUGGAGGCUCGUAGCGAUUCUGACGUGCAAAUCGAUCGUGAGAUUUGGGUAUAGGGGCGAAAGACUAAUCGAACCAUCUAGUAGCUGGUUCCCUCCGAAAUUUCCCUCAGGAUAGCAGCGGCCGAGUGUUGACAGUUUUAUCAGGUAAAGCGAAUGAUUAGAGGCUGCGGGGGAGUAACUCCCUCGCCCUAUUCUCAAACUUUAAAUGGGUAAGGAGCUGGGGUCGCUUGGUUGGACCCUCGGCAUUGGAAUGGCUGGUCGUUUGUGGGCCAGUCCGGGUAAGCUGGACUGGCGAUGCGGGAUGAACCGAACGCCUAGAUGAAGCGCCUCA
rnacentral:rRNA from 1 species